UCUUUACCAAUGAGUCUCUAAUUUACCAACGAGUUUAUCUUUUUUUACACAUCAGUCUCUAUCUUGUGUUGUGUGGUUUGGAAUAAUUCACUCAAAAACAUUUCAUCCAAUGUAUAUAUUAUGGUUGCAUGUCCAUAUAUGGUGUGUUCCACAUUAACAUUUAAUAUCUAGCUGUAUAAGCUUUGUAGUAGUAAAAAAAAUGCCACAUUCAUCCACAAUAUUCAUUUUAUU